rnacentral:misc_RNA from 1 species
AGCAGCCGCGGUAAUUCCAGCUCCAAUAGCGUAUAUUAAAGUUGUUGCAGUUAAAAGCUCGUAGUUGAACUUCGGGGUCUACCCAUUGGUCAGGCUUAAUUGUCUGCACUGGUGAGAUGAAUCUCUACCUUCUGAGGAACUUUCAUGCCAUUUAUUUGGUGUGAUGGGAAAUCAGGACUGUUACUUUGAAAAAUUGAGUGUUUAAAGCAGACUAUCGUCUGAAUACAUUAGCAUGGAAUAAUGAAAUAGGACGGACUGAUUCUAUUUCGUUGGUUUCUAGGAUCACCGUAAUGAUUAAUAGGGAUAGUUGGGGGCAUUAGAUUCAAUUGUCAGAGGUGAAAUUCUUGGAUUUAUUGAAGACUAACUACUGCGAAAGCAUUUUGCCAAGGAUGUUUUCAUUAAUCAAGAACGAAAGUUAGGGAUCGAAGACGAUCAGAUACCGUCGUAGUCUUAACCAUAAACUAUGCCGACUAGGGAUCGGACGAAGUUAAUUUUAUAAUUGACGCGUUACC